UAAAGGACAGCUAUAGUAAGGGUGAAAAAUAGGAUUCAUGAAUGGAAAUUAGAGGAGCAGUCAAAAGUUCUCCAGUUAUUUAAAUUUCCUAGUGAGAUUUUGUAGUUUGAAGAUUAUACUUCUUUAAACCUAGUGAAGUUACUCCAGCCUUUGUUAGUCUCAUGCCAUUUCAUGAUGUAAAAAUUGCAGCAUUUAAUUA